CAAUCAGGAAGCCUGAUGUGGGACUCGAUCCCAGGACUCCAGGAUCACGCCCUGAGCCAGAGGCAGAUGCCCAACUGCUGAGCCACCCAGGCGUCCCUUGACUAUGAUUUUGAUUUAAUCAUUUUUGAUGAUGGUGUCUUCAAGUUCUUGAUGAUCACCAUCAACGAGAAACUUUGCUUACACAAGUAAACAAUAAAUUCACAAAAUUACUUGUUUCACAGUCCUCUGUUGUGUACCUCCUCCAGCUCUAUUCUAGCCUCUCUACUUGCCCAGCUGUGCUCCAUGGACAUCUAGAACCUUGCAUAGAAGAGCUAUGGUACAUCCAUGCAGCCAGAGAGUAAUAAGGUUGAGCAGCCAUUCUUUAAGGAUGAACAAAAAGUUUGAUCCAAAGACUGAGGAAAGAAACAGAGGAUCCAAGAGAUCUUAUGAAAAAAUACCUUGGUGCUCUUCUUUUAGGGAAGGUUGUUCCCAGCCCUGCACGUCUAAGCAUGGUGAUGAUAAUCAGUAUGGCACAAACAGCCAAAAUACUCAGGGAGACAGCUAAGUUCAGUGAAGAAUAUUUUAAUACUCUUUAUAAGACAUGCAAAGAUUCCUGUCUUGUUGAGCCACUAAAUAUUAAAAUAUUUCCAUGGAAGAGUUCUAUUGCUCUAUGGAGUUGCAUAUUUUUGCCUUUUUCCAUUUUUUAAAUUCUGAGAAGUAAUUUUGAAACAACAUGGAUUGCAAUUUUUUUUACACUUUCUUUCUGUGUUUCUGAAAGGCUCUUCAAACAUUGAUGUUUCCUUAAUUUAGCCAUCUCAUCUUUCCACAAGCAUUUUAUUAUUGAAUCUAAUUUGGUUCUAUAAAUGAUUGAUUAACUUGUGAAUUGUUCUAUGAUUUUGUGACUUCUUUUAAGGCCAUAAAGUGUUUCUCAUGUUAAUUAUUAUUAUUAUUUUUUAAAUCACAUAUGCCAGUGAACAAGUUAGUCAUGGCUAAUUAAGAAAGGAAGAUUUUUAAAGUUCUGGAAAGAGAAGUCUCCACUGGGGGUGUAACACUGAUAUUAUUUAACUCUGAAGGAAUACUUUGUAGAUGAGUACCAAGAGAAGAAAUUGUAGUUUAAUGGAAAAAAAUGUGAACUUUGCAUUCAAGUGGGCAAAGAUUUGAAUCCCACUUUGUCACUUACCGGUAGCAUGGUUUUUAGCAAGUUAUGUUAUUUUUUUGGAAUCCACAUUUCUUCAUUUAUAAAAUGAGGAUAAUAAUUUCAUAUUGUGGGAUGAGUGGCAUAGUAUUGAAUGAGAUCCUAUAUGUGAAACAUCUAUUGGAUUACCUCACAUAUUAGGAUUAAUUUAUAUAUCUACACUGGCCAUGGAAAUAUAACCUUGUCUAGUAUUAAAUGUAUGUAGGCUAGUACUCUUCCCCUAAUUUAUCUCAAUCUGCAGGUAUUAGUCCACCUAAUAUGUAUUCAUUAAUUUAAACAUUUAUUCAUUCAUUAAUUUUGUAGCAGGAUCAGCUAUUCAACUUAAUUUAUUGUAUUCUGCUUUUUUUUCUAUAAUAUUCUUGAUGAUCUCCAUAUUUCUGCUGCUAGAUCUUGCCCUUUAGGAGAUAACCAAAAUUAAAGAUUGCUUAGAACUUUUAAGUGUUUAUUUUUAAAUAAACGGAUGACCCAGGUAUGAAUCAAUGCAGCAUAUUUUUCUUAACGUAUGCAAAGAGACGUACUGUGUAUUAGAAGCCCACUUUCUUCAGGAGAAUGGGGCAGUGUUUUCGCUCUGGUUCUGUGCAGCCAUACAUAAGGACAUGAUUUCCUCUGGAGUCAGGACUGCUAGGUAGGAAAUGUUAACCAGUAAGUAAAUCAGUAAAGUAAAUUAGCCAUAAGGGUAAGUGCAGUAAUCUUAUAUGUAGGGAUAUUUUCACUGAGUAUUUCAGCUCUCUUAUACAAAAAUAAAGGCCAUUUAUAAAAAAUAACUUCUUACAUAAUCUUUGAAAGUGGCUUAACUAUAACAAAAAAUAAAAAAAGAAGGUGAUCUGGCAAACCUUAUGAGCUCAUUUGAACUUUUUUUUUUUUUUUAACACUUAUCUUGUCCUGAAUAAAUUAUUUUUUCAAGAAGCAAUGGAAUCAUGUUUUGUUCUGGAGUCUCAGUGCUAUUUCCCUGAUCCAAAUAUGAGCCUCUUAGAUGAGAAUCCAACAGCUUAGAAAUGCCGGGCCAUCUGAGAGAAGUGGGAGAUGGAGCUAAAUUCUGAACUGUGGCUAACACGUUAGAAUUGUAACUAACUGAAAGGAGAGUGUUGUCAUGAAAAUGGUGGAACAGGAGUUUUCUCCCAUCUACCCCUCAAAGAACACUGAUGUCGCAGUCAUCCAUGGAUGACAGAACCUUUGUGGAAGUCCAAGAUUCCAGUAGUGAAGUUCUAGCACACUGUUGGAACAAGAAAUUUCAAGAUUUGACACAUUCAAGAAGGUGAAAUAAAUAGCUUGACUCUACCCAUGUCAUCCCUCUGCCAGUACAGCACAGCUCAGGACUUCUUGACCUGUGAUUUUUCCCACAGAAGAAAGUGAGAGUGUGAGUGAGUGUCUAGCUUCAAGAUACUGCCAAAGAGGCCCACUUGUCUCUUGCCUCAUCCAGGUACUGAGUUGUGGGGAGGAUGAUGGGGAGAGUUCAGUGGCUGAGAGAAUAGGAGCAAAGGUCCAGAAUGUAACAUAUCAAAGGGAUGUGGAUCCUACUAACCACAUCACAGUCUCCAUCAGGAAGCCUGCCAUGAGCUGCUGGGAAUCCCCCCAACUCACUAACAGAAUACAAGGUCUAUAAAGGCAAGGGCAUUUCUGAUUGUUUUCUAAUGUAUCUCCAACUUCUAGAAGAGGACCUGGCAGUGUACCAUGAACAUCUCUUCCAUGCACAUGAGUGAAAGAUCCCCUCCUGAAAGACCAAAAACACUUGUAAUUGGAUCAAAAGGCUGCUGGUAACAAGAGUGACACCUAAAGCGAAGGAUCAGCCUGCCCAAUGCCAGCCACGGAAAGCAGGAAGAAAAUGGACUUCUUUUUGGUAGUUUUAAGAGUCUGGUUAAGAGCACCAUGAAAUAUCAGUGGAGACAUCCUGAUUUGGUGGAUCAACUGUCUCUGCAUUCCAGAUUCAGUUCCUCCACUUUUUGAAUUAAUGGCAUGUUUAUGAGCUGAAACACGAUGACGGAUAUAUGACAUGUGAAACAAAAGAAGACAGGAACAUAAUUAAAGGUAUGGGCUCUGGAAUCCUCAUCCUGAAUUUAAAUCCUGGCUUUGCCCUUACCCUCUCCUCCAACUGGUUGUACAAACUUGAGCAAAUUACUUUACCUGAGACUUGGUAUUCUGAUAUUUAAAGUGGGGUGGUCCCCGAAUAGCCAGGGGAAUUUUAAAAAAGAAAACCAUAUCUGGGGGGCAUCACAAUGCCAGACUUCAGGUUGUACUACAAAGCUAUGGUCAUCAAGACAGUGUGGUCCUGGCACAAAAAC